UACGUAGGGGGCAAGCGUUGUCCGGAAUUAUUGGGCGUAAAGAGCUCGUAGGCGGUGUGUCGCGUCGGCCGUGAAAACCUGCGGCUCAACUGCAGGCUGGCGGUCGAUACGGGCAGGCUGGAGUUCGGUAGGGGAGACUGGAAUUCCUGGUGUAGCGGUGAAAUGCGCAGAUAUCAGGAGGAACACCGGUGGCGAAGGCGGGUCUCUGGGCCGAUACUGACGCUGAAGAGCGAAAGCGUGGGGAGCGAACAGG
rnacentral:rRNA from 1 species